UCGCAGCCCGGCUUGAACGGAAAUCCUUUUUGCGAGGGGAAAAGCGCUGGCAAAAAGAUUGGGAGUGGAAGACGGAUAAAGC
rnacentral:misc_RNA from 1 species